rnacentral:rRNA from 1 species
GGUUAAGCGACUAAGCGUACACGGUGGAUGCCCUGGCAGUCAGAGGCGAUGAAGGACGUGCUAAUCUGCGAAAAGCGUCGGUAAGGUGAUAUGAACCGUUAUAACCGGCGAUGUCCGAAUGGGGAAACCCAGUGCAAUUCGUUGCACUAUCGUUAACUGAAUACAUAGGUUAACGAGGCGAACCGGGGGAACUGAAACAUCUAAGUACCCCGAGGAAAAGAAAUCAACCGAGAUUCCCCCAGUAGCGGCGAGCGAACGGGGAGCAGCCCAGAGUCUGAAUCAGCUUGUGUGUUAGUGGAACGGUCUGGAAAGUCCGACGGUACAGGGUGAUAGUCCCGUACACCAAAAUGCACAGGCUGUGAACUCGAAGAGUAGGGCGGGACACGUGGUAUCCUGUCUGAAUAUGGGGGGACCAUCCUCCAAGGCUAAAUACUCCUGACUGACCGAUAGUGAACCAGUACCGUGAGGGAAAGGCGAAAAGAACCCCGGCGAGGGGAGUGAAAAAGAACCUGAAACCGUGUACGUACAAGCAGUGGGAGCACCUUCGGGUGUGACUGCGUACCUUUUGUAUAAUGGGUCAGCGACUUAUAUUCUGUAGCAAGGUUAACCGUAUAGGGGAGCCGCAGGGAAACCGAGUCUUAACUGGGCGUUAAGUUGCAGGGUAUAGACCCGAAACCCGGUGAUCUAGCCAUGGGCAGGUUGAAGGUUGGGUAACACUAACUGGAGGACCGAACCGACUAAUGUUGAAAAAUUAGCGGAUGACUUGUGGCUGGGGGUGAAAGGCCAAUCAAACCGGGAGAUAGCUGGUUCUCCCCGAAAGCUAUUUAGGUAGCGCCUCGUGAACUCAUCUUCGGGGGUAGAGCACUGUUUCGGCUAGGGGGUCAUCCCGACUUACCAACCCGAUGCAAACUACGAAUACCGAAGAAUGUUAUCACGGGAGACACACGGCGGGUGCUAACGUCCGUCGUGAAGAGGGAAACAACCCAGACCGCCAGCUAAGGUCCCAAAGUCAUGGUUAAGUGGGAAACGAUGUGGGAAGGCACAGACAGCCAGGAUGUUGGCUUAGAAGCAGCCAUCAUUUAAAGAAAGCGUAAUAGCUCACUGGUCGAGUCGGCCUGCGCGGAAGAUGUAACGGGGCUAAACCAUGCACCGAAGCUGCGGCAGCGACACUAUGUGUUGUUGGGUAGGGGAGCGUUCUGUAAGCCUGCGAAGGUGUGCUGUGAGGCAUGCUGGAGGUAUCAGAAGUGCGAAUGCUGACAUAAGUAACGAUAAAGCGGGUGAAAAGCCCGCUCGCCGGAAGACCAAGGGUUCCUGUCCAACGUUAAUCGGGGCAGGGUGAGUCGACCCCUAAGGCGAGGCCGAAAGGCGUAGUCGAUGGGAAACAGGUUAAUAUUCCUGUACUUGGUGUUACUGCGAAGGGGGGACGGAGAAGGCUAUGUUAGCCGGGCGACGGUUGUCCCGGUUUAAGCAUGUAGGCUGGUUGUCCAGGCAAAUCCGGAUAAUCAAGGCUGAGGUGUGAUGACGAGGCACUACGGUGCUGAAGUAACAAAUGCCCUGCUUCCAGGAAAAGCCUCUAAGCAUCAGGUAACAUUAAAUCGUACCCCAAACCGACACAGGUGGUCAGGUAGAGAAUACCAAGGCGCUUGAGAGAACUCGGGUGAAGGAACUAGGCAAAAUGGUGCCGUAACUUCGGGAGAAGGCACGCUGGUGUGUAGGUGAAGUCCCUGCGGAUGGAGCUGAGACCAGUCGAAGAUACCAGCUGGCUGCAACUGUUUAUUAAAAACACAGCACUGUGCAAACACGAAAGUGGACGUAUACGGUGUGACGCCUGCCCGGUGCCGGAAGGUUAAUUGAUGGGGUUAUCCGUAAGGAGAAGCUCUUGAUCGAAGCCCCGGUAAACGGCGGCCGUAACUAUAACGGUCCUAAGGUAGCGAAAUUCCUUGUCGGGUAAGUUCCGACCUGCACGAAUGGCGUAAUGAUGGCCAGGCUGUCUCCACCCGAGACUCAGUGAAAUUGAACUCGCUGUGAAGAUGCAGUGUACCCGCGGCAAGACGGAAAGACCCCGUGAACCUUUACUAUAGCUUGACACUGAACAUUGAGCCUUGAUGUGUAGGAUAGGUGGGAGGCUUUGAAGCGUGGACGCCAGUCUGCGUGGAGCCAACCUUGAAAUACCACCCUUUAAUGUUUGAUGUUCUAACGUUGGCCCCUUACCGGGGUUGCGGACAGUGUCUGGUGGGUAGUUUGACUGGGGCGGUCUCCUCCCAAAGCGUAACGGAGGAGCACGAAGGUUAGCUAAUCCUGGUCGGACAUCAGGAGGUUAGUGCAAUGGCAUAAGCUAGCUUGACUGCGAGCGUGACGGCGCGAGCAGGUGCGAAAGCAGGUCAUAGUGAUCCGGUGGUUCUGAAUGGAAGGGCCAUCGCUCAACGGAUAAAAGGUACUCCGGGGAUAACAGGCUGAUACCGCCCAAGAGUUCAUAUCGACGGCGGUGUUUGGCACCUCGAUGUCGGCUCAUCACAUCCUGGGGCUGAAGUAGGUCCCAAGGGUAUGGCUGUUCGCCAUUUAAAGUGGUACGCGAGCUGGGUUUAGAACGUCGUGAGACAGUUCGGUCCCUAUCUGCCGUGGGCGCUGGAGAAUUGAGGGGGGCUGCUCCUAGUACGAGAGGACCGGAGUGGACGCAUCACUGGUGUUCGGGUUGUCAUGCCAAUGGCACUGCCCGGUAGCUAAAUGCGGAAGAGAUAAGUGCUGAAAGCAUCUAAGCACGAAACUUGCCCCGAGAUGAGUUCUCCCUGAGACUUUAAGUCUCCUGAAGGAACGUUAAAGACGAUGACGUUGAUAGGCCGGGUGUGUAAGCGCAGCGAUGCGUUGAGCUAACCGGUACUAAUGAACCGUGAGGCUUAACCUU